UUUUGCCAACCCAAACCCAACAAAUCACUACCCAUUACAAACAAACUAAUAUCCACUAACCCAAUAUUACCAGCCCAAUACCUAACCCUAAGCCCAAAACAACCCAAGACCCAAAUCAGAAAAACACCCAACAACCCUAACCCCUAUUCCCACUUGCGUCGAACCUACCCCCACCUGCCUUCUGACACCAGCACCGGCCACCUGCUCCACCGUGCCCAUCC
rnacentral:lncRNA from 1 species